UAGGGAAUUUUCGUCAAUGGGGGCAACCCUGAACGAGCAAUGCCGCGUGAGCGAAGAAGGUCUUCGGAUUGUAAAGCUCUGUUGCCGGGGAAAAAAGGAAAGGAAAAGAAGGAAAAUGCUUUUCUUUUGGAUGGUACCCGGCCAGAAAGUCACGGCUAACUACGUGCC
rnacentral:rRNA from 1 species